rnacentral:rRNA from 1 species
UACAGAGGUCUCAAGCGUUGUUCGGAUUCAUUGGGAGUAAAGGGUGCGUAGGUGGUGGGGUAAGUCGGAUGUGAAAUCCCGGGGCUCAACCCCGGAACUGCAUUCGAAACUGCCUUGCUCGAGUAAUGGAGAGGAGACUGGAAUUUACGGUGUAGCAGUGAAAUGCGUAGAUAUCGUAAGGAAGACCAGUGGCGAAGGCGAGUCUCUGGACAGUUACUGACACUGAGGCACGAAGGCCAGGGGAGCAAACGGG